rnacentral:rRNA from 1 species
AACGGCCAUACCAUGCUGAAUAUACCGGUUCUCGUUAGAUCACCGAAGUCAAGCAUCAUUGGGCGCGGUCAGUACUUGGGUGGGGGACCACCUGGGAACACUGCGUGCCGUU